AAACAACGCUGGAGGUAGUUGAGAGCGAGUAACUGCGGGAGAGAAGUCAGGGGGGUUUCUGCCUGCACGAACCUGGGCUGUUUGCUGCAUGACCUGGGUCCUAGGGAGGGAUGGAGACUUGAGAGUCCUGGCCCCUUGGUCCUGAGGAGGCAGGGCGCCCAAGAGAGGAGGGGAUUGAGGACCCGUAGGAGGAGUAACGAGGGGCCUAGACUUCUGGGUCUGAGGGAGGAGGGGAAGGCGAGGCCCUAGACUUAGGAUUCUGAGGGAGGAGGAAACUGGGAACCUGAAAGGUUGGGGGCCAGGGGUGAGGACUCCUUGGUCCCAAGAGUCAGUGGCCUGUCCACAGAUGACAGAUUUGAAGGUCAGUAUUUUAAUGCGGCUAUUGAUGGGAUUGGAGCCAGGCCUUGUCCCCGGGCAAGGGUUCUGGAUUCUGAGCUGGGGCUUGACUGGAGAGGAGGGGAAGAAGCUUGGGAGAAGCUCUGGCCUCCACAUGCCCUUUCCUCGCCCCUGAGGGGGACGCCAGGGGCAGGGUGCUAUCUGCAAAAGGAACCCGCAGAGUGGCAGGAGGCUGGAAACCCACCUGGAGACAGAGAAAAGCGUAGAUACCAAUGGAGACAUUCAAGUAUUGAUUUUCUUCUUUAAAAGUGGGAUGCCUUUCAGAGAAGCAGGAAAGAUUGGAUACUGAGUGGGCACCCACAGCACGCCGAUUGCUCGCUCCUUUAGGAAGCAGUUUCUUUUAUGGAUCAGAUCUCAGAACCUGGCGCAGUUCUGCUUUCGCGUCCAAACUUCUUGAAUGGGGUCCUACGGCUCCCCGUCCGCACCAGUUCUGAAAGCGAUGACGUCGGGUGGUGUUACCUGGUUCUCCAACUGAGUAAGGAAGACCCAGAGAAUUGUUUGGAAUUCACAGUAUUUUCGAGAAGAUAGGACAGGUAUUCAUAGAGAAUCAGCAUUCAGAACCGUGGUUCCCCAUUUCGGCUCUGCCGGUCUGCAAACUGGACGCAAAGGGGCCACAUGCGAACCUAACUAACUCAGGCGGCCUGGCACACUCAAGGGACCUAAAGUAACCACAAAGGAUGGUCUGAAAUUAGAGCCUUUAAUUGAAAAACAGUUUAUUGUGGGCAGUCAUGUCCCUGUAUCUUCUCUGACAAAGAUCAGCUUCAGUUUUUACUGAGCCUGUUGUCUUUUUCAUCUAAGAUAGCCCACCUGUGGACUGUCAGGGCGACUUCCCUUUGCCGGACCCCUCAGGGCACAGACCACAAAAGUCCUCAUUGUUAUUGUUACCAUGUUAAUCUUUGCCUGUUAGCUGUCCUGUACCCCCCUAUGUAAAAGGCGCAUGUGUUGGAUGGAGGGCUGUCUGGCUGCGACAUCUGCCCCAGGAAACUGAUCGGGAGUUGAUUCGACUGAUCUGACUGGCUAGGCCGGUGUCCCCCUCCUCCCCACCGAUCCAUGUGCAUCCCUCCCGAAUCUGCGCUCCGUGGAAGAGGACGUCCUUCCCCCCAGAAGAGAGGACCGGUCUUCCGUCAGCGCCCCUCCCCACUUACAGCCCCCACCCGACCCCUGGAACCAGCGGGUCCCACGACAGUGACAUGGCGCAGGGCUCGUCUCGCUGUGACGCUGACUUCACCGAGCAGAACGUCCUCCAGGUUCAUCCACGGUGUCGAGCGGCGGCGUUUCCUUCUUUCUUCCGAGGCUGAGUCACAGCCUCUGCGUGUGCGCCGCAGGCUCCUUCCCCAGCCGCCUGUGGACAGGCACGGAGGUUGUUGCCAGUCUCGGCGGUUGUGAUAACGCUGCAGUGAACGUGCAGGCGCAGACAUUCAGCCAGCUGUCAGCGGGAAGCGGGCGCCGCCGGUUCUCAUCCUGCACGGAAAUGAACCUGCCCACACUGAGAGCUUCCUCCGUGGGUAAGCCCCAGGGGAGACGAGCCCCAGCUCCUCCCGCCCAGGCUGUGCUAUUUUAAACUUGAGUUUGGGUCCAUUUACAGCGAUAGGUAACUAAUAUCGUUUAUUAACGGUACGGCCUGAAGGAAGUUGUAUAUAUUUCCUGGGCCUCAGUUCUCUCCUCCUCAGAACAGGUUAACAACAGCCCCCUCCCUUCUGUUAGGUGUUGCUGAGGAUGAAGUGAUUGGCGCCCGGGUCAUCCUUGGGCCGAUGCCCAGCCGCCUGACAGCCUCGGUCCCUGUGCCUGUGUCAUCGUGGCCUCGUGGCGAUGCGCUUUUUCUCCUUCCUCACUCUCCCUCCCUCUUUCCCCUCGUCACCUCUGUCGUUUUCUGCCUUAAUUCUAACAUAUCCUCUCCUUUUCUAGAAUUUCAUUUCUUUGCCCGUAUAGUCUUGGCUGCCAAAACCUCCGUUAUCUCGUGGUCAUUUAUCUGACAACCUCAACUAUUUGAAAUAUACCCGAGAUGCUCCAAAAGCCAAAAUUGAUUCCAUGUAGAAAAUGCACCGAAGUGACACUCUUGACUGGUUGAGGCGACUCUGAGGUUCUUGUUUGCUGAGUUAAACCGCCGGGAAGUAAACAUUUAACAUGCGGAGUGGGAUCUGGGAGGAAGCAUCCUCACAGCAGUCACAGUGCGAUCGAGACAAGCUGAGCGGGGAGGAACCUGAAGACUCUAAAAGGCAAGAACAACCACAAAGCAGUUCAGGCAGAGACAGGCAGUGCGUCCCGGUCCCCACAGGCAUCACCGGGCAGGGGCAUGUCUUGUUGGACCAGCACAUCCUCUGCACUUUGUUUCCAAUGUGUGUAUAAUGGCAGUGUUGUCACCAAAGGGGCCACAAAGUCCAUUCUACUCUAAUUAGGAGAGCAGAGGGUAUAGUUUAUCUUUCCAGCCUUGAAAUGCAUGUGCAUGAUAGAGUAUUAUAAAUAUAUAUUUCAAACAUAUUUAUGUUUAUUAUAAAAUAAGAGCUCUCUCGUCCAC